AGUGAACGCUGGCGGUAGGCCUAACACAUGCAAGUCGAACGGCAGCACAGUAAGAGCUUGCUCUUACGGGUGGCGAGUGGCGGACGGGUGAGGAAUACAUCGGAAUCUACUUUUUCGUGGGGGGAUAACGUAGGGAAACUUACGCUAAUACCGCAUACGACCUACGGGUGAAAGCAGGGGAUCUUCGGACCUUGCGCGAUUGAAUGAGCCGAUGUCGGAUUAGCUAGUUGGCGGGGUAAAGGCCCACCAAGGCGACGAUCCGUAGCUGGUCUGAGAGGAUGAUCAGCCACACUGGAACUGAGACACGGUCCAGACUCCUACGGGAGGCAGCAGUGGGGAAUAUUGGGCAAUGGGCGCAAGCCUGAUCCAGCCAUACCGCGUGGGUGAAGAAGGCCUUCGGGUUGUAAAGCCCUUUUGUUGGGAAAGAAAAGCAGCAGGUUAAUACCCCGCUGUUCUGACGGUACCCAAAGAAUAAGCACCGGCUAACUUCGUG
rnacentral:rRNA from 1 species